rnacentral:misc_RNA from 1 species
AACUUUAAGCAAUGGAUCACUUGGCUCUCGCAUCGAUGAGGAACGCAGUGAAACGCGAUACGUAAUGUGAAUCGCAGAAUUCAGUGAAUCAUCGAAUCUUUGAACGCAUAUUGCGUUCUCUGGUACUCCGGAGAGCAUGCUUGUUUGAAUAUCAGUAAACACCUCAAAUCCCUCUACUUGUUGGAGGAGUUAGGACUUGAGCAGUCCCAGCUUUUCGAAAGAGAAGGCGGGUUGUUUGAAAUGCAGGUGCAGCUAUAGAUUCUUUCUUCUGGCCUAUAAGCAUACCUAUUUGAUCCCGUCAAACGGGCUAUUUCUUUUGCUGCAGCUGGCAUAAAGGUUGAAGAGUCGCGAUGGCUGAUUGAUAGGAUUUAACAUGUCGCGCAAGCGAUCUGUAAACUCGAUCUCAAACCAAGCAAGACUACCCGCUGAACUUAAGCAUAUCAAUAAGCGGAGGCU